rnacentral:rRNA from 1 species
GCUUCACGCAGGCUGGCAUUGGUUCGGGCUUUUCUGCGCAGUCUAGGUGGGAGCUUGAAGGUUCCUUCCGGGAAGCUGGAGCCAUCAGUGAGAGACACUCUGGAAAGGCUAGAAUCCUAAUGGUGAUCCUUGAAUCAGGACACUUGACAUUGUCAGCUAGACAGUUUUCUGGGCGGAGGCUCCUAAAAGGUAACGGAGCUGUGCAAAGGUUCCCUCAGUCUGGACGGAAAUCAGACGUGGAGUGUAAAGGCAAAGGGAGCUUGACUGCAAGACCUACAAGUCGAGCAGGAGCGAAGCUGGCCUUAGUGAUCCGACGGUACCGUGUGGAAGGGCCGUCGCUCAACGGAUAAAAGUUACUC